GCCUUCAUUGUGUAAUCGGAAACAUGUCCGGCUAGCAAUCGGACAGUUCGAAGUUCGAAUCCCAGUGCGGGCA
rnacentral:tRNA from 1 species